UCAUGAUGUAGAUGUCUGCCACCUGGCACAAUUAAAGACAGUAGGUCUAAUACAUGCUUUGCUGUGAGAUUUCUUAAGUCACUCAGGUAUUGUCCCUACGGGUUUAGUUCCUCAUUCGUAGCUCACAUUUCUCUGGUCGUGCAAGCACAAAAAGGCAACUUGCUGUCAUGGACUGCGAAGAGCAAGUCAGCUAAAUGUGGGACGUUCCUGUUUGUCCCAGACUCAAUGUAAGCUGGCACAAAUGAAGUACCUCUCUGAAGUUAUUUUUCAGUUAAAGUAAUUGUUCUCCAUGCUGCCUCAAUUUGUGGUGAUCACAGAUAAAGGAAGAGAUGAAGGAAAGGGAAUAUCCAUGGGCGAUUUAGCCGGUUCCCUGGCUGGACUGUGAUGAGAUCCAGCAGGUCAUUGCCAUAACUAAUAACCAAGAUUUUAUCGAGCACAAAAUAAAAAGGAGAAAAGUUUUCCACAUGUAUUAACUGAGUUUGUCGGAGCAGUACCAGGUAAUGGCACAGCCUGGCCGUUGCUCAUGGCAGAGCAAUCUCCCAAACCAGGCAAGCGAUAGCCAGAGGAGCGUUCAGAGAACUGGCUCAGCCAGUGCAAGUGUCUUUUUGCGGCAGACUGCCAUAAUGAGAGGAUAUUCUGCUCUCCAGGGGACACGGGCUUCUGUUCCCUACAGCGUGGAAUUCCCCGGCCGCUCUUAUUCACAAGCAGCCUUUGACUCGAGGAUGUCCAUCUACCCGGUUACAGGAGCGGUUGUGAUCGGUCCCCUUUGGAGCUGUUACUUGUGCUCUUGUAGACCGGGAGCAUAGCCUCGGGGCAGAGUACUGCAUGGAAAAGGACUGGGCAAGCCCGAGACAUAAAAAUGUCCCCCAAGGAUUUACAACCUAGACAUGACGGAAGGAAGCAAAUGGUUUUAGAUGGAUGGAAGUAAAGGAAGCAAUGAGACUCGGUUCGCCAGCACGAUUAGCAGUGCUCUCAGCACAGUGUCCGUGCAAACGCUGGUAAACUUCUGUGGGCAUUACGGCAAAGAAGAGAGAGAUGUGAAAGCAGAUGAGGAGGCGAUGCGGGUAAAUAUCGACACAGUGAUGGGCACUCGGGGGACAGCAGGACAACGUUAUAUUUUCAAGGAGUGCGAUGGGCAGUGGAGUUCGGUCGUAUGGGACCCGUGGCUGUCCCAGCACACAGCCUUUUUGCCUAACGUCAGCCUGUCUCCUCCACGUUCUGCUCGCUUUGCUUAUCAAAGCUGAUAGUGUUGCCUUGUGUCAACUAGGAGAAGGGUGUGUCUAAUUUGACAACUUUGCUUUCAUAAGCAUUGCUUCAGUGAUGUUUGUGCAACCACACUGGAAUAUGAUUUUAUCUUGUCACUUGUAAUUACCAUUAAUGAUUUGCAUAAUAGCCAUUAGGCAUCAGUUAUUAAAUACUUCUUUGAUGUGAUACUGAGCCGGCUCCAGACCUCAUGCUCCCAUCCUUCAAAUGCAGACCAUGACUUUUUUUCUGGCUAGUGACUCACUGAUUUAUACCACCAGGUUUAGCAAAAUUCCUGUAAGGCAACCGAAACAAUUGCCACAUGGAGCUUGAUAAUAGUGUGAUCUUAGGUCUUAAAUGCACCUCGGUGACGAAGGUGAUAACUCUGUGAAAGAAACUGAAAGUUCCUUUCUUGCUGACUGUUCACAUCUUCAAACUACCUCUGAACAUUUGCUAGUGAUGAAGUUCAGCAGAAUAUGGAGGUGGAGAGAGACGGAUUUCUUCCUCCUGAAGCUCACAGCCUUUCCUGAUUCACUUUGUGGAGGGUUUUAAUUUCUUUCCAGCACCAACAGACGAUGACAGUGCCACCAGGCUUCCCAGCCUUUGCACCUCUGGAAGCACUGCUGAUUUCCAUGGCAAAGGAAUAGAAGAGAAUUUGUGUUAGGAUAGAUGGGAAUACUGACGGCUGAAUGAAACUAGAACAACCUCGCUGCUGCAUGGAAAGCUGUUUCCAGCUAAAACAAGGCUAAAACAAGGUUUUAGCCUGUGGUCCCUGCUGGCAGAGCCAUUUGGGUCAAACCAGAACCCGGCAGGCAGGACUGGAGUAUUUCAGGUGCUUCCUGAGCUCGGGUACUGUGCAGUGGCACAACAGACAGGUGGCCAAAGGCACAGGCCAGCCAGAGCCCCCCUUAAGAGUUUUCUUCUUAUCUUUAUUUAAUACUUGCACUAGUAUGUCUGUUUUCAAUGCACCUUCAGUAUGUGGUUAUACAAGCAGUUUAAAUGAAAUUAUUCAGUGUAUUGGGCUGAGAAAUCUCCUGCUUGAUUAUAGUAGUAAUUUACUUAUGUAAAUACUUCUUUAUAAAUGUUACACAACCCAAGAAACAAAAAUACAGGUUCCACAGAUAGUUACAAGGGUGUGAGUGAGAUGGUACCCGUCUGCAUCUUUCAUAAAACAGACUUUUAUAGAGAAAUUAUAGUUUGUACAUUAUACCAAAACAUGGCUUAGUAUUAAAAAUAUAUCGUGCCUGUAAUCAGGUAUAAUUGCGUGUGCAGUGGAGUCCUUAGCUCAUGGCUGAUUUCCAGCAUUAGCACUUUGCGAAUCUAAUUGUUUUACUUCUGCUUCUUCGCUCAUGUCUUAAACCUCUGGUAUGUUCACUCCUCAGGGAUUUUUUCUGAUGAUGCUGUAAUUGGCAUGUGUCUGUUCUCCCUGUAAAAAAGGUGCUGUGUCUGCCAGGGCGAUCACAGCGCGUCUCAUCGACCCCGCGGGUGGCGAUGCCGAUAGCUCCUGCUCACCCGCCGGAGUGCUGAGGCAGCUCUCCCUCGUCUCCCUGCGGCACCCACCCCUGCUCUUUUUAUCCUUAGAUUCCUCUCCCAGUCUUACACCUUCAGCCUAAGUCUCUGUCUGUCCUUGACCUACUCCUCCAUGCUGGCUUUCCAAGAUUUGCACAAUAAGGAAAGAGCGAGCUCUUGCAGGCUGUGCUGGCGCGGGUGACCACCCGUGAGAGUACAGCAGGAGUUGGUCUGCAGGAAGCUGCAGCAGCGCCCCGGGUCACUUGUGUCCUGUCGUCCAUGCACUGCACCUUCUGCGUUUCGUUUGUCUUCCCUUGCUGCCUCUUCCUGUGCUGUUCCAGCUUAGAAAUCGUGCAGGUUAUGAAGUCUUUGGGCAGGGGAGGCACCUCUAUGUUUCUGCAUAGCGUUUAAUGCAGCGACCUCGGAGGUGCUGCAGACAGGUUAAAUAACGCUGAAGGAGUGCAAUUGGUGCUGCUGGGGCUGCAGGUACAGAACAAACCACAGCACUGAGCGCAGAGCCUUGUCCACAAGCUUGUUACAGCAAUUACCCCGCGGGGGCAGGAGCUGCCUCUCGCUCGGCCAGUGAUGGGAGAGGCCAUCCCCAGAGGGACAUCUGGGGCUGUCCCUCGAUUGCUUCGCCGCUGGCCCUCCGUGAAGAGCCGUCUCCGUAAAGGCACAGCUCGGAGCCGAAAGGGCAGAGCAUGAGAGAUGUCACAGCAGCAGACCAGGCUUUCUGCAGAGCGAGAAAGAAAGCUGGCUACAAAAAGUCCCAUCUUUGCUGAAAUUUUUGCCAAGAGAAUAAUUAAGGCUCAUCAUCUCCCCUGAAGUCUUCUUGUUGGAAGCCUUCGUGUUGGAUUUGUGUAUAAGGAAAAAGAAACCCUCUGCAGCUCCUCACCGCCCAGAAAAACCUGGACAUCUCUCGUCCUCCUCUUCCCUGAGAAAAUGGCUGGGCUAAAGCAGCAGCUCGUGGCCACCCUUACAGGCUCCUGGAGGACACCUCACCUCUCUCCCCAGAGCGCAC